AGGAUUCAUCACUAUCAAAAUAACUACGUAUUAUGUUGUUUUAUCAUUCAAUUUGUUGGCACUAUACCUAAUCCACAGUAAACAGGAUUAUCGUUAACUUAAUACGAUCUUUCUUAGGAAGAAUUUGGUAACAGUAUUCUAUUGUAGUUUUCAUGAGAAGGCUUUUCCUAUUCACCAAAUUGACUCGGUUCCUUGUCAGUAUGAAUAAUGACCCAAGGUUUACUGGGGAUGGUGACAAUGUAGGAAGGGUCCCUCGCCUCAUUCAGUGCCUUCUCAGAGGCCCUCUCCAGAACAGCCAUGUGUGACAUUCUGCUGUGGUCAUUUCUAUUUACAAUAAUAUACAUAUUUUUCUGCUGCAUGCGUGCAACAGUGUACAAUCAGACCCAACCCUCAGGGGGGUUUUCUCACACUGUUUCUCUCAAGCGUGGCUGCUCUGAUGGACGCUGAACACUGAUUUCUGAACGAAGCCUUUCCCACAGAUGCCACACUUGUAGGGUUUGUCUCCAGUGUGUGUUGUCUGAUGUUUAUUCAAAUUGGACCUGUCAGUAAAGGCCUUCCCACACUCAGCACACACGUAAGGCUUCUCUCCAGUGUGAAUUCGCUGAUGCACUUGGAGCUGUGAUUUUUUAGUGAAAGACUUCCCACAGUCACUGCACUCAUAAGGUUUCUCUCCAGUAUGAAUUCUGUGAUGUGUAAUCAACUCUGACUUCUGUCGAAAGGUCUUCCCACAUUCAGAACAAAUGUAGGGCUUUUCUCCGGUAUGAGUUUUCUGGUGCUUACUGAGAUUUGACCUGCCACUAAAGGCCUUCCCGCACUCGGCACACACAUAGGGUUUCUCUCCUGUGUGAACUGGCUGAUGCACCAGGAGCUGAGACUUGGAGGUAAAGGACUUCCCACAGUCACUGCAUUCAUAAGGCUUCUCUCCAGUAUGAAUUCUUUGAUGAGUAAUAAAGUUUGACUUGCGGAUGAAAGCUCUUCCACACUCAGUGCAUACAUAGGGUUUCUCUCCUGUAUGAAUUUUCUGAUGAACAAUGAGUAUUGAUUUCUGGUUGAAGGCUUUCCCACAUUCGUGGCAUUCAUACUGUCUCUCUCCAGUGUGAAUUUUCUGAUGUAUAUUGAGGUGUGACUUCUGAGUGAAGGCUUUCCCACAUUCGUGGCAUU
rnacentral:lncRNA from 1 species